GACAGAGGAUGCAAGCGUUAUCCGGAAUGAUUGGGCGUAAAGAGCGUGUAGGCGGCUUGGUAGGUCUCGCGUCAAAACCUGAGGCUCAACCUCAGUUCGCGUGGGAAACCACCUAGCUAGAGUCCGGAAGAGGAGAACGGAAUUCCCAGUGUAGCGGUGAAAUGCGCAGAUAUUGGGAAGAACACCAGUGGCGAAGGCGGUUCUCUGGGACGGUACUGACGCUGAGACGCGAAAGCGUGGGGAGCGAACAGG
rnacentral:rRNA from 1 species